rnacentral:tRNA from 1 species
GGCCCCUUGGUCAAGCGGUUAAGACACCGCCCUUUCACGGCGGUAACAUGGGUUCAAAUCCCGUAGGGGUCA